UACAGAGGGUGCGAGCGUUAAUCGGAAUUACUGGGCGUAAAGCGCGCGUAGGCGGCUUUGCAAGUCGGGUGUGAAAUCCCCAGGCUUAACCUGGGAACUGCAUUCGAGACUGCAUUGCUAGAGUAUGGGAGAGGGAAGUGGAAUUUCCGGUGUAGCGGUGAAAUGCGUAGAUAUCAGGAGGAACACCAAUGGCGAAGGCAGCUCGCUGGAACGGAACUGACGCUGAGGCGCGAAAGCGUGGGGAGCGAACAGG
rnacentral:rRNA from 1 species